AGUGAACGCUGGCGGUAGGCCUAACACAUGCAAGUCGAACGGCAGCACAGUAAGAGCUUGCUCUUACGGGUGGCGAGUGGCGGACGGGUGAGGUAUACAUCGGAAUCUACUUUUUCGUGGGGGAUAACGUAGGGAAACUUACUCUAAUACCGCAUACGACCUACGGGUGAAAGCAGUGGAUCUUCGGACCUUGCGCGAUUGAAUGAGCCGAUGUCGGAUUAGCUAGUUGGCGGGGUAAAGGCCCACCAAGGCGACGAUCCGUAGCUGGUCUGAGAGGAUGAUCAGCCACACUGGAACUGAGACACGGUCCAGACUCCUACGGGAGGCAGCAGUGGGGAAUAUUGGACAAUGGGCGCAAGCCUGAUCCAGCCAUACCGCGUGGGUGAAGAAGGCCUUCGGGUUGUAAAGCCCUUUUGUUGGGAAAGAAAAGCAGCAGGUUAAUACCCCGCUGUUCUGACGGUACCCAAAGAAUAAGCACCGGCUAACUUCGUG
rnacentral:rRNA from 1 species